AUACAUUUUCAUAUAUAGAUACAGGCACUUGUAUGUACGUGCCCAUCGCUCGAUAUUUCAAUCCUAAUUCAGUAAAUCUCCCAAUCGCCUUCUGAUUUCCAUUGAAUUUCUACUUAUUUUCUCUCUCCUCUCCCAUUCUACCAGUUUCUUUCUCUUUCUUUCUUCAAUUAGUGAAAACCCUAAUCUUGAAAAACCUCCUCUUGAACCCUAGUGAUUGGAAUUUGUUUCAGCUCGUUUCAACUUUACAAUCGAAACAACCAUUCGGCUUGAGAUAUUCGGUAGUUUCUAUUUUUUUCUUAAUGUACUUUCUGAGUUUGACCAGCAUAAACCCUGCUGAGGUUCAAUGCUGAAGGCAGCAUGCAGAUGAUAGCUGGGAGACAUGCAAAGGUAUCAUGCUGCCAGCUGCACUAGUGCAGUCAAUAACACUGCCAUUGGAGGAUCUGCUAGGGAUGUUUCCCGAGCUGAGUCAUCUUCCAUUCCGUCAAACUUUUCUUUGAAUUCUAGGCGACCGUUACCUUUAACUCCAUAUAAACUGAGGUGUGAUAAAGAACCAUUGAAUUCCAGACUCGGGCUGCCUGACUUUCACCUCCAGACUCCUACUUGUCCUGAGGAGACGUUGACCAGGGACUAUGUGCAGUCUGGUUAUAGGGAGACGGUUGAAGGGAUUGAGGAAAAUAGAGAGACUUCAUUAUCACAAAUUCAGACUUUUACAAAGCCAGUCAUCCUCAAGUGCAAGGAGUCAAUAAGAAAAUGUCACAGGGCUAUUAAUGAGUCCCGUGCACAAAAACGAAAGGCGGGCCAAGUUUAUGGUGUGCCUCUUUCAGGUUCACUUUUAAGUAAACCUGGCCCCUUUCCUGAGCAAAAACCAUGUGGUGAAGAGUUUCGAAAGAAAUGGAUUGAGGGAUUAUCUCAACCGCAUAAAAGAUUGUGUUCUUUGGCUGAUCAUGUUCCUCAUGGUUACCGGAGGAAAUCUCUUCUUGAAGUUCUCAUUAGGAAUAAUGUUCCACUACUCAGAGCUACUUGGUUUGUGAAAGUGACUUAUCUUAAUCAGGUACGGCCUGGCUCUUCCAAUUUGUCUGGUGGUGUGCCUGACAAAACGCAGUUUUCCCGAUCAGAGCAGUGGACAAAAGAUAUCAUAGAUUACCUCCAGGCGCUCUUGGAUGAGUUUGUUUCGAAAAAUAAUUUUCAUUCCACUCUGCAUAUUAGGGAUCGAUCACCACAAAUGGUUUAUCCUGGGACCCUACAACAUCGAAAUGAUGCUGCUUCUACUUCUACUGAUGCUGAUGAGCCUUCUUUGCAUUUUAAGUGGUGGUAUGUGGUUAGGCUCUUACAAUGGCACCAUGCAGAAGGACUGAUUGUUCCAUCUCUCAUUAUUGAUUGGGUUUUUAAUCAACUGCAGGAAAAAGAGCGUCUUGGGAUUUUGCAGUUGUUACUGCCUGUAAUAUAUGGUGUAAUCGAAGCCGUCGUAUUAUGUCAGACCUACGUGCGAACUCUGGUUGGCAUAGCUAUGCGUUUUAUUCAAGAACCUUCUCCUGGUGGGUCUGAUCUUGUAGAUAAUUCCCGAAGGGCUUAUACCAUGUCUGCUCUUGUUGAGAUGCUUCAUUAUUUGAUAAUUGCUGUUCCUGAUACUUUUGUUGCUUUGGAUUGCUUUCCCUUACCAUUGUGUUUGGUAACUAAUGUGGUCAAUGAUGGGAGUUUUUUGUUGAAGAUAGCUGAAGAUGAAAGCAACAUGAAAACUGGUCCCCUUGAAGUAGCCUGCUUGCAGAGAGACAAGGGUGUUGAGGUUCACCCUGACUCUUUGACCAUAAACUGUAUUGUUUCAUCUAUUCAGAAACGUGCAGAAAACCUUGCAAAGGCUGCCAGACCGGGACAUCCAAGUCAAAAUGUAGCUAAAGCUUUACUGGCAUUAGAUAAAUCUCUUAUUCACGGAGAUGUGUCAGUGGCAUAUAAACUUCUUUUUGAAAAUCUUUGUGAUGGAGCUGUUGAUGAACGUUGGAUUGCUGAAGUGAGUUUGUGUCUACGGUCAUCGCUCAAGUAUAUUGGAGCAGUGACCUUGUCAUUUAUUUCCUCUAUCUUUUUCAUUUGUGAGUGGGCAACUUGUGAUUUUAGGGAUUUUCGCACUGGCCCACCAUCAGGCCAGAAGUUCACUGGGAAAAAAGACCUCUCUCAGAUAUAUAUUGCUAUACGGAUUUUGCAGCUCAAGAGGAGAGAGAUGCAAAGCUUGUCUCAGGGCAAGAACGAGAGUAGCCUUGCUCCUGAUACUCUAGCCAAAGAUCCUGAUUUGCAGAAUAAUUAUCCAGGCAGGUUUCCUGUUGGCAAUGCUUGUGAACAAAAUAAAUACAGUUUAAAGAGUGGGAAAACUAGAAAUUUGUCAAAUAUUUUUGAAAGCCCGAGCCCUUUACAUGACAUUAUUGUCUGCUGGAUUGAUCAACAUGAAGUACACAGUGGAGAAGGCGUCAAGCGGCUUCAACUACUCAUAAUGGAACUUGUGAGGGCUGGUAUCUUCUAUCCCCAGGCAUAUGUGAGGCAAUUAAUUGUUAGUGGAAUCAUGGAUGGGAAUGGGAUUUCAGUUGACCUGGAGAGACGGAAGAGACAUCAUAGAAUUUUGAAGCAGCUUCCUAGUUCCUAUGUACAUGAUGCUCUCGAAGAAGCACAGGUUCUUGAAGGAGCAAUGCUUUUGGAGGUGAUUAAUACAUAUGCAAAUGAGCGUCGCUUGGUACUUCGUGGCCUGCUUGAUUGCCAUAAGAGUUCUGGCAGCUCUUGGCAGAAACAAAAGCAUUAUUAUAACUCAGGAGGUGGCAGUGCAUCUCCUUCUUCUGUUGAUCAGUGGAGAUCUCUUCAGGGGAUAUCCAGUUUAACUACCAAAAAUGUUGAUCAAGUUGUUGAGCUUGAAGAUCUAAAGGCUUCAAUAGUAAUGUUGCUGCAGCUUCCUAGUUCAUCACUGUCAAGUGACAGUGGACUAGAAAAUUUUGUUGGGGGUUUUAAGAGAUCUACGGGAUCUUCUAUUACCAAGAUCGAUAUUGGUGAAGGAACACCUGGAUGUGAAGAGUGUAGAAGGGUGAAGAGACAAAAGUUGAGUGAAGAUAGGAGCUCAUACCCACAGGGAUUUUUAUCCAAUGCAUUGGAUGAUGAAGAUAUAUGGUGGCUGAGGAGGGGCCCGAAGUCUCUCGACAAAAUGGAUCCACCUCCUAAGCAAGCCAAGCAAUCUGGAAGGGGGAGGCAAAAGGGUGUUCGUAAAACACAAAGCCUUGCACAGUUAGCAGCUGCUAGAAUUGAAGGUAGCCAAGGGGCUUCCACAAGUCAUGUUUGUGAUAAUAGGGUGAACUGCCCACACCAUAGAACUGGUGUUGAAGGUGAUGCUCCAAAAUCUGGGGAUGGGAUCAGAAUGGCAUAUGGUAGUGACAUUGUUUCAAUUGGAAAAGUUCUGAAAAAGAUGCGACUUGUGGAGAAGAGAACUGUGAUGUUAUGGUUGAUAAGUGUUGUAAAGCAUCUUGUUGAAGAAGCUGAAAAGACUGCAGCAAAAGUUGGUCAAUAUGGCAGACCAUAUUCUGCUGUUGAUGAUGCAAACUCUGUGCGAUGGAAGCUUGGUGAAGAUGAAUUAUCUAUGAUUUUGUAUCUGAUGGAUGUUUCUAAUGAAUUAGUAUCUGCUGCCAGGUUUCUUCUCUGGUUGCUGCCAAAAGCUCUUAGCAGCCCUGCUGCUUCCAUCCACGCUGGUCGGAACAUCUUAAUGCUUCCAAGAAAUACGGAGAAUGUUGUUUGUGAAGUCGGGGAGGCAUUUCUUGUAUCAUCUAUUAGGAGGUAUGAAAAUAUAAUCGUAGCCGCAGAUCUUGUUCCUGAAACCUUGAAAGCUGCAAUGCAUCGAGUUGCAGCCACAAUGGCCUCUACCGGAAGGGUUUCAGGUUCUUCAGCUUUGGUUUAUGCAAGAAAUUUGGUGAAGAAGUACGGAAACGUGGCUAGUGUUGUUGAUUGGGAGAAAAACCUUAAAUCAUCUUAUGAUAAAAGACUCAUUUCUGAGCUUGAAUCUGGAAGAUUGCCUGAUGCGGAGUUUGGCUUCCCACUUGGAGUUCCUGCAGGAGUUGAAGAUCUUGAUGAUUUUUUCCGUCACAAGAUAAGUGGUGUACGGGUGUCCAGAGUUGCUUUGACAAUGAGAGAUAUAGUACAAAGGCAAGUUGUUGAAGUUUUUCAAUACUUUUGUGGCAAAGAAAGAAAGCUUUUUGGGCCUGGUACAGUAAAAAGCCCUGUCUUGGAAAACUUGGAUGAUGGUUAUCAAAUAGCUCAACAAAUAGUAAUGGGAUUAAUGGAGUGCAUGAGGCAAACUGGUGGUGCUGCUCAGGAAGGUGAUCCUACUUUGGUAUCCUCUGCUAUUUCUGCAAUUGUCAGUAAUGUUGGACUGGUUAUUGCUAAAAUUCCUGACUUAACUGCUGGCAAUCACCUAAAUUUCCAGUCCACAUCCAGUUCAAUGCAUUUUGCUCGACGCAUUUUACGCAUCCAUACAACUUGCUUGUGCCUGCUGAAGGAUGCACUUGGUGAGCGUCAGAGUCGUGUCUUUGAGGUUGCUCUUGCAGUUGAAGCUUCUACUGCCCUUGCUCAAGUGUUUGUGCCAGGAAAGGCUCCUCGCACUCAAUUUCAUCCAUCUCCUGAAUCCCAUGAUUCUAGUUCAAACUCCUAUGAAGCCUUGAAUAGUUCUGUUAAAAGUGUACUUGGACGAGGGGCAAAAAUUGCUGGAGCAAUUUCUGCACUUCUUGUUGGGGCACUUCUUCAGGGAGUUACUAGCCUUGAGAGAAUGGUUACUCUCUUCAGAUUAAGGGAAGGGCUUGAUCCAAUUCACUUUUUCAGGAGUUUGAAAUCCAACUCAAACGGGAGUGCUCGUUCCAUUGGGGCUCUGAAGCUGGAUAAUUUGGUUGAAGUUUCCACCCACUGGUUUCGAGUGCUUGUAGGUAAUUGCAGAACUGUUUCUGAUGGAUUUAUUGUGGAGCUCUUGGGUGAAGCGUCAGUUGUAGGUCUCUCUAGAAUGCAGAGAACACUUCCUCUGAACUUGGUCUUUCCGCCUGCCUAUUCUAUAUUUGCAUUUGUCAUAUGGAAAGGAUUAAUUUUUAAUACUGGUGUUGGCUUGCGUGAUGACCUCCAACAAUUGUAUCAGUCCUUAGCAUUGGCGAUAGGUGAUGCAUUAAAGCACCUUCCGUUCCGUGAUGUGUGUCUGCGAGACACUCAUGGCCUUUAUGAUCUCAUAGCUGCAGAUGCCAUUGAUUCUGAGUUUGCAGCCUUACUGGAAUCACAUAGUGCAGACGUUCUUUACAAAUCCAUGGCCUUUGUUCCUCUCAGGGCACGGCUUUUCUUAAAUGCCCUUAUUGACUGUAGAAUGCCACAGUCAUUGCUUAAACCAGAGGACGUUAAUAGGAUGCAAGGGCAAGGUGGCCUAAAGAACUAUUAUCAGGAGAAGGAUGCAAAUUUCAGAGAUAAGCUUGUGCAUGUUUUGGAUACAUUACAACCUGCAAAAUUUCACUGGCAGUGGGUUGAGCUUAGGCUUCUUUUGAAUGAACAAACAGUCAUUGAUAAACUGAAAAAUGAAGCCCCUUUGGCGGAGGCUAUUAAAUCAGUUUCACCGAAUGCUGACAAGGUUGCAGUUUCUGAGAAAGAGAGCAGCUUUGUUGAACUCGUUGUAAUGAGGUUACUUGCCAGACCAGAUGCUGCUUCACUCUUUUCUGAGGUUGUGCACCUUUUUGGAAGGUCACUUGAGGACCAAAUGCUAAUGCAAACUAAAUGGCUUCUUGGAGGCACUGAUGUUCUUUAUGGAAGGAAAUCAAUUCGGCAACGGCUUAUCAUUAAUGCUGAAAAAGAACAUCUAUCAACUAAACUGCAGUUCUGGAAGCCAUGGGGGUGGUGUGAUUCAAACUCUGAUUCGCGGAAAACAAGGGGAAGCAAGAGGAAGUUUGAAGUCGCCUCUCUUGAAGAAGGUGAGGUGGUUGAUGAAGGUUCAGAUGUGAGAUUUCCUGGAAGAGGAUCCACUCAAGUUGUGGAUGUUGAAGGUUUCUUGGUGAGUCAGCAGCAUGUGACAGAGAGAGCAUUUAUUGAAUUAGUUCUGCCUUGUGUGGAUCAAGGCUCUGAUGCCUCAAGAAACACCUUUGCAAAUGACAUGAUCAAACAGAUGAAUAACAUUGAGCAGCAGAUAAAUGUACUUUCUCAUGGAGCAGCUAAAUCUGUUGGAUCAGUUGCAUCUGGAGCAGAAAGCCCAGCAAGCAAGGGCAAUAGCCGAAAAGGUAUGAGAGGUGGGAGUCCUGGAUUAUCCAAUUCCAGACGACCUGCGGGACCAGCUGAUGGAGUACCAUCUUCCCCAGCGGGGUUGCGAGCUUCCAUGUCAUUGCGCUUGCAGUUUCUCCUAAGACUACUUCCUACUAUGUGCACGGAUGGGGAGCCAGGAAAGAGUAUGAGACAGAUGCUUGCUGCGGUUAUAUUACGCCUUCUAGGAUGUAGAGUUGUCCAUGAAGCUGCAGGCCAUACCACAAGUUCAACUUUGAAUUUAUCCAAGAGAGAUGUCGAGUCGCUUACAGAGGCUUCUGCUACAUCUGUACUUUUAUCUGGGGAAAGUCUUUUCGAUUGUUUGUUAUUGCUGCUACAUGGACUGCUGAGCAGCUAUCGACCUAGCUGGCUGAAGUUGAAAUCUAACUCCAAGUCCGCCUCCGAGUGCGGCAAGGACUUUAGUGUUUUUGGUCGUGAGGUGGCGGAGAAUCUGCAGAAUGAUCUGAACCGCAUGCAUAUGCCGGACCAUAUCCGGUGGCGAAUUCAAACUGCAAUGCCAAUUCUUCUUCCAUCUGUUCGGUGCUCAAUCUCUUGUCAACCUCCAUCUAUAUCACCGGCUUCGAUUGCUGCUCUCCAGUCCAGCAAUCAGAUAUCAGUUUUACAGCCUCACAAUUCAAUCCUAUCCCAGAGAAAUCCAGUUUCUUUGGUUCGAACUGUCGCUAAUAUGGCAGGGAAGGCUAAGCAACUGCCACUGCAAGAUCUGGACUUGGAAAUUGACCCUUGGACCCUAUUGGAGGAUGGAACGGGUGUGCAAUCUUCGAGCAACUCUGCUGCUAUUGGUGGUAGUGACCAUGCUAAUUUGAGAGCAUCAAACUGGCUCAAGGGGGCCAUUAGGGUGAGGAGGACUGACCUCGCCUACAUUGGUGCAAUAGAUGAGGACAGCUGAUAUGAGUAGUACUUCAAUUUUGAAUUUACAUACAAAGGGAGCACCCAGCAGGAAAGCGUCCUCGCUCAUCCGUGACGGGAAAGUGGCCAUCGGGGUCGCUCUAAUUGCCUUUGGCAGCAAAGGCAUCUGCUUAAAGGCACAUUCUUUUUGGGUGCACGGGGUUCUGACUGGGUCACGUGGAGUCAUGGACGACAUUCUUUGGCGGCCUGUCCAUUUUACCUCGCAGCCCUGAUUGACAACUAACCCUUUGAUCACCCCCUUCUGGACAGCACAAUUCUUGGCGCAGUUCAGAAGUUGUUGUACAUAUAGGGAUAACUAUUUCCCCCUUUUGGGAUGAGUAGAAUGUCUCAGAAAUGAUUUUCUGCUCUUUCAUGCUCAGCGCUUGUUGUUACAUCUUGCAAAUUGAAUUUUGCAUGAAGCCUGGCCAAGUAACAAAAGUUUCGGGUUUACUUUCCGAUUUCCUAGUUUUUACAUGCGAACAGGUAUUAGCGCAUAUUUGUAACAAAGACUUCUUUAGUUUAGGAUUUGUAACAGCCUGGCAUCACAAACUAGACGUAUUGAUACACAAUUGUCUUAACAAUUUUGGCUAGUUUUUCUUAAGGUCUAUUCUCCGACCGGCUGCUCAAGCCAGGUCAAAUGUGCUGGUUCCUCUC